rnacentral:rRNA from 1 species
AUUGAACGCUGGCGGCAUGCCUAACACAUGCAAGUCGAACGGGGCAGCAAUGCCUAGUGGCGGACGGGUGAGGAAUACGUAGGAAUCUGCCCUUAAGUGGGGGAUAACCAGGGGAAACCCUGACUAAUACCGCAUGAUCUCUUCGGAGCAAAGAGGGGGACCGCAAGGCCUCUCGCUUCUGGAUGAGCCUACGUCUGAUUAGCUAGUUGGUAGGGUAAAGGCCUACCAAGGCGACGAUCAGUAACCGGUCUGAGAGGAUGAUCAGUCACACCGGAACUGAGACACGGUCCGGACUCCUACGGGAGGCAGCAGUGGGGAAUAUUGGACAAUGGGCGCAAGCCUGAUCCAGCAAUGCCGCGUGUGUGAAGAAGGCCUUCGGGUUGUAAAGCACUUUAGCCUGGAAAGAAAAAACUUUGGUUAACACCCAAAGUCUUGACGGUACCAGGAGAAUAAGUACCGGCUAACUCUGUGCCAGCAGCCGCCGUAAGAC